AACAUCUAACUUGGUAGGAGAGCGUUCUCUGCGGGGUGAAGCAUGAGCGGAAGCGCGUGUGGACUUCAGAGAAGUGAGAAUGCCGGAAUGAGUAGCGAGAAUUAUGUGAGAAUCAUAAUGGCCGAAAGCCUCAGGUUUUAGAAGGAAGGUUCGUCCGCUUCUAGUUAGCCGGGAGCUAAGGCGAGGCCGAAAGGCGUAGCCGAUGCACAUACGGUAGACAAUCCGUAGCUGCCAAAAGAUUUAAAUUAGGGGACACUCUGAAAGGGUACAUCCCGGGCGUUGGUUGACCCGGGCGUAAGGGAGCGAAUUAUUCGCGAAGUGUGCUUGGACGGAGGCGAGAAAAGCCUAAUGUAUAUCUGCGGCACCCGUACCGCAAACCGACACAGGUAGGUAGGAGGAGAACUCUAAGGCCAACGGGAGAAGAGUUGUUAAGGAACUCGGCAAAUUGACCCCGUAACUUCGGGAAAAGGGGUGCUCAUAGCAAUAUGAGCCGCAGUGAAUAGGCCCAGGCAACUGUUUAUCAAAAACACAGGUCUCUGCUAAAUCGAAAGAUGAAGUAUAGGGGCUGACGCCUGCCCGGUGCUGGAAGGUUAAGAGGAGGAGUGCAAGCCCCGAAUCGAAGCCCCAGUAAACGGCGGCCGUAAUGAUAACGGUCCUAAGGUAGCGAAAUUCCUUGUCGGGUAAGUUCCGACCCGCACGAAUGGCGUAAUGAUCUGGGCACUGUCUCAACAGCUCACCGGGCGAAAUUGUAGUACCGGUGAAGAUGCCGGUUACCCGCGACAAGACGGAAAGACCCCAUGGGGCUUUACUGUAACCUGAUAUUGGGUUUCGGUAUUUUAUGUACAGGAUAGGUGGGAGACUAAGAAACAAGGGCGCCAGCCUUUGCGGAGUCAACCUUGGGAUACCACUCUUAAAAUACUGGAAUUCUAACCUGCGGCCGUGAAUCCGGUCGGGGGACAUUGUCAGGCGGGCAGUUUGACUGGGGCGGUCGCCUCCGAAAGAGUAACGGAGGCGCUCAAAGGUUCGCUCAGCACGGACGGAAACCGUGCUUUUGAGUGUAAACGCAUAAGCGAGCCUAACUGCGAGACUGACGGGUCGAGCAGUAACGAAAGUUGGAGUUAGUGAUCCGGCGGUAUGUGAGUGGAAAUGCCGUCGCUCAACGGAUAAAAGCUACCCUGGGGGUAACAGGCUGAUCUCCCCCAAGAGUCCACAUCGACGGGGAGGUUUGGCACCUCGAUGUCGGCUCAUCACAUCCUGGGGCUGUAUUCGGUCCCAAGGGUUCGGCUGUUCGCCGAUUAAAGUGGUACGCGAGCUGGGUUCAGAACGUCGUGAGACAGUUCGGUCCCUAUCUGUCGUGGGCGUAGGAAAUUUGAGAGGAGCUGUCCCUAGUACGAGAGGACCGGGAUGGACGCACCUCUGGUGCACCAGUUGUUCUGCCAAGGGCAUAGCUGGGCAGCUACGUGCGGAUUGGAUAAACGCUGAAAGCAUCUAAGCGUGAAGCCAACCUCAAGAUUAGAUUUCCCAUAGCAUAAGCUAGUAAGGUCCCCGGUAGACUACCGGGUUGAUAGGCUGCAGGUGUAAGCGCAGUGAUGUGUGUGCCAGGCAGUACUAAUAGACCGAGGGCUUGACCA
rnacentral:rRNA from 1 species